rnacentral:lncRNA from 1 species
CUAGUUUUUGAAAUAAUUUGUACCAAAAAGGAUUUUACAUUGAAACUAUUUUACAUAUUGAAAGUAGGUUCUAGCAUAAAAUAAAUCUAAUAAAAUCAUUACAUAAAAAUAAUUACCCAACAUACACCAGACCCAUAUAUAUAUAACCAUUUUUUUUUAAAUACGGGGUAUUACAAAGCCCAAUAAUUAAGGUAAUUAAAAGGUGCUCUUGGCACCGGUUUACGUAAUUGUAAUCACUGUUCUAAAAAUCUCCGCCUAGGCGCUAGGCGGUUGGCCAUCGCCCUAUUAAUGCCUAGGCGUUUGAAAAUUAAGAAAGGGCGCCUACAUUUGUGCCCUUCUGAACUGCCUAGUCACCCACCUAGCCCGCCCAAACUCGCCUAGGCACCCACCUAGGUUGCAACUCUCUUAGACAGAAAAUAGAUAACUUUCAUUUUGUAUUUUAUUUUUUUUCAAUAAAUUGUAAGAGACUUAUUGACACACCCACCUAAAUUAGGGCAUGCUGGCUGUCACGUAAACGUGACAUAACCAUGUGCACAAUGCGGAAGCAAUAAGGAUAUAGAGAAUUACGAGCGAAUAAAAACCAAAUUACUAGCAGAACUAGCUAAGAUAAGGUGCUAGUGCGAGAAUAAGUGUGAAAUACACAAUCAGAGCAUAAAUAGUCUAAGUGCAGUCAAGCAGAC